rnacentral:rRNA from 1 species
CUGGCUCAGAUUGAACGCUGGCGGCAGGCCUAACACAUGCAAGUCGAGCGGAUGACGGGAGCUUGCUCCUUGAUUCAGCGGCGGACGGGUGAGUAAUGCCUAGGAAUCUGCCUGGUAGUGGGGGACAACGUUUCGAAAGGAACGCUAAUACCGCAUACGUCCUACGGGAGAAAGCAGGGGACCUUCGGGCCUUGCGCUAUCAGAUGAGCCUAGGUCGGAUUAGCUAGUAGGUGAGGUAAUGGCUCACCUAGGCGACGAUCCGUAACUGGUCUGAGAGGAUGAUCAGUCACACUGGAACUGAGACACGGUCCAGACUCCUACGGGAGGCAGCAGUGGGGAAUAUUGGACAAUGGGCGAGGGCCUGAUCCAGCCAUGCCGCGUGUGUGAAGAAGGUCUUUGCCUUUAAGGCACUUUAAGUUGGGAGGAAGGGCAGUAAGUUAAUAC